rnacentral:rRNA from 1 species
UGCCUACGGGGGGCAGCAGCCGCGGUAAUACGGAGGAUGCGAGCGUUAUCCGGAUUUAUUGGGUUUAAAGGGUGCGUAGGCGGAAGGUUAAGUCAGCGGUCAAAUGUCGGUGCUCAACACCGGCCUGCCGUUGAAACUGGUCUUCUUGAGUGAGCGAGAAGUAUGCGGAAUGCGUGGUGUAGCGGUGAAAUGCAUAGAUAUCACGCAGAACUCCGAUUGCGAAGGCAGCAUACCGGCGCUCAACUGACGCUGAGGCACGAAAGCGUGGGGAUCGAACAGGAUUAGAAACCCCUGUAGUCCCGGAG